rnacentral:rRNA from 1 species
AGCGAACGCUGGCGGCAGGCCUAACACAUGCAAGUCGAACGAACUCUUCGGAGUUAGUGGCGGACGGGUGAGUAACACGUGGGAACGUGCCUUUAGGUUCGGAAUAACUCAGGGAAACUUGUGCUAAUACCGAAUGUGCCCUUCGGGGGAAAGAUUUAUCGCCUUUAGAGCGGCCCGCGUCUGAUUAGCUAGUUGGUGAGGUAAAGGCUCACCAAGGCGACGAUCAGUAGCUGGUCUGAGAGGAUGAUCAGCCACAUUGGGACUGAGACACGGCCCAAACUCCUACGGGAGGCAGGAGUGGGGAAUCUUGCGCAAUGGGCGAAAGCCUGACGCAGCCAUGCCGCGUGAAUGAUGAAGGUCUUAGGAUUGUAAAAUUCUUUCACCGGGGACGAUAAUGACGGUACCCGGAGAAGAAGCCCCGGCUAACUUCGUG